rnacentral:rRNA from 1 species
AAUCCGAUGGAACAUUGGAGUGGCCCGCAAGGGGAACCCGGACACAGGUGCUGCAUGGCUGUCGUCAGCUCGUGCCGUUGAGGUGUUGGGUUAAGUCCCGCAACCGAGCGCAACCCUUCAUCCUUAGUUGCCAGCAUUUAAGGUGGGCACUCUAAGGAAACUGCCGCAGUUAAUGCGGAGGAAGUGGGGAUGACGUCAAGUCCUCAUGGCCCUUAUGCCCAGGGCUACACACGUGCUACAAUGGGUGGAACAAAGGGUUGUGAACCCGUAAGGGGGAACUAAUCCCAGAAAAGCACUCUCAGUUCGGAUUGGAGUCUGCAACCCGACUCCAUGAAGCUGGAAUCGCUAGUAAUCGCGGAUCAGCAUGCCGCGGUGAAUACGUUCCCGGGCCUU